ensembl:snRNA U6 U6 spliceosomal RNA
GCACUUGUUUUGGCAGCACAAAUACUAAAAUUGGAACAAUACAGGGAAUAUUAACAUGGUCCCUGUACAAGAAUGACAUGCAAAUUCAUGAAGUGUUCCAUAUUUUU